rnacentral:lncRNA from 1 species
UAGAGCUCUCUGAGGAUAUAAGAUUUGUCCUGAGAUGUGCAGAAUGAAUAAGAACUGGGGCCAUGAGUGAGCAAGAAGAGAGGUCCAGGCAGAGGGAGGAGCAGGUACAAGGUUCUGCGGCAAAAAGAGGACCCAGGCUCUGGGAGCUCCCGAGGACAGAGCUGGGGUAUUCUGCUUCCCUCUACACUGUAUCUUGCUCCCUCCAUCCCCACGACAUCAAGGGCUUCUGGUCCAGUGUAGGGCACAGAGCUGGCUUUUCAGGGAGAAUAACAUGGUGGCCCUGGGGGCUGUUCCUCUGCAGUCCCAUUUUCUUCCCUCUAAGGACAAGGUUGGGCUGCCUUUUUCUCCUAGAUGAAAUUGGACAUGAACAAGUGACUUGCUUUGGCCGGUGGGAUGUGGCCCAAAGUGAGGAGGGUCACUUUCUGGCAGAAGCUUGAAGAUCUGGUGCUCAAUUCGCCAUGUUUCUCUCCCCUGCCACAAACUGGAUAUGUUCCACAGUGGAGGCUCUGUUGCCUUGAGUCCCCAAAGGAGAAGAAUGCAGAACAGACCCCCCAACCCAGACUGACAUGGAAUAUGAGCUCAAAAUGAAGGUUCAUUGUGCUCAGCCACUGAGGUUUUGUUGUGUUUUGUUUGACAGCACUGUACAAAUUAUAAUAUCCUAUACAAGUUAUUGUAUGAUAAUGAUGAUGAGCGAGGGAGAGGGGAAGUGUAACAGGGAGGAAGUGCCCAGCAUGAAGGUGUGUUGUUGAGUUUGCUGCUGUAGGUCUUGGGGGCUCAGCUGCCUGAAACUUGGGGAAGCCUGCAGACUGCCUUCCAGAAUAUUCUGGCUAAAGGACAGGACACCAGAGCAUUUACCCACAGGCUCCAUCCUUCAUUGCUCAAAGGUUGCCCCAGCAGGGCUCAUUCUCCCCCAACCUCACACUGAACUUGUAGGUGGGCUCCAUGGGAUUCCCUGAUUUUGGAGAAGGUUCUAAAGCAGAGCCCGAGGUGGAGAUACUCAUCAGGCCCUUAACAUAGAAACCUGCCAGCAUGCAGAACACUACCCAUUGCUUUUGGUGGUAUCAAAGAUGAAGUCAGAGACAGCUUGAGGGAUGUGACACAGGACAGAGUCAGUAUCUGCCACAGUUUGGCUUGCUGUGUUAUCACUCCUUCUACUAUUUGUGUUUUGAGAAGAGCCUGGGGGAUAAGGUCACACAGCACUGAGGACGCAGACCAUGAAAGUCGGAGAAAGGUACUGCUUCAGGAAUUAAAGCUUGAUCACAAUCAACAACCCCAGCGGACUGGCUGAAACCAGAAAUCCCCACAAGCUGAGCUGAGUCACUCACUCAGGACCCUGAUUCUGCCUCCUCACAAGAUGGCGCCUUGGACUGAGCCCCAGGAAAUGCGCCAUUUUGGCCUUGUCUAGCCACCAAAGACCCCAAAGGGCAUAUUGCCUUCCCCAGGCCUGCAAGAGGAGAAUGCGUUUCUGCCAGUACCACAUCUGGGCCUCACCUAGCCUCUGACAGGAGACACCUGCAGCCCCUCACCCAGGUUACCCGAGGCGGGUCCCAGCUGCCCGGCUCAGGCCUUCCCCACACUCAAGGACAGCCGGCGGCUCAGAAGGCCACCUGUUUGGGCAACAGAGAAUUACUUGAUGCUGCACUUAAAAUCACCAGAGAAUAAGCACAAUGGAGCAUUAAAAACUUUGACAAUUUGAUACUUUGCAGAAUACCUCCCCCGCAAAAAAUCAGUUUUUAGAGCAUUAAGUGAGACAAGGCAAAGAUGCAUAAAGAAAAAGCUGACUGUCUUCAUCACCUCCACCCUCCCCUUGAGCACCCAGGCCUGGGCUGGCGUGAGGCUCCCACACAGCUGUGAC